UACGUAGGGCGCAAGCGUUGUCCGGAAUUAUUGGGCGUAAAGAGCUCGUAGGCGGCUUGUCACGUCGGAUGUGAAAGCCCGAGGCUUAACCUCGGGUCUGCAUUCGAUACGGGCUAGCUAGAGUGUGGUAGGGGAGAUCGGAAUUCCUGGUGUAGCGGCGAAAUGCGCAGAUAUCAGGAGGAACACCGGUGGCGAAGGCGGAUCUCUGGGCCAUUACUGACGCUGAGGAGCGAAAGCGUGGGGAGCGAACAGG
rnacentral:rRNA from 1 species